rnacentral:rRNA from 1 species
UACGUAGGGUGCGAGCGUUGUCCGGAAUUAUUGGGCGUAAAGAGCCCGUAGGCGGUUUGUUGCGUCGGCCGUGAAAACCUGCAGCUUAACUGUGGGCCUGCGGCCGAUACGGGCAGACUUGAGUUCGGUAGGGGAGACUGGAAUUCCUGGUGUAGCGGUGAAAUGCGCAGAUAUCAGGAGGAACACCGGUGGCGAAGGCGGUUCUCUGGGCAUGAUCUGACGCUGAGGAGCGAAAGUGUGGGGAGCGAACAGG